rnacentral:rRNA from 1 species
CCCUUAUCACCUGAUCUGAAUUCAAACCGGAGAAUGAAAGGUUUAACAUUAUACUACUUUUUUCUUAUAAAUUUUUAAAUUUUUAUUAAAUGUAAAAAUACAUUUAUUAAUAAAAAAGACGACAAGACCCUAUCAAACUUUACUUUUAGUUUUGCUGGGGCAGCAAUUUAAUAAAAAUUUUAAAUUUCAUUUACAAUAAAUGACCCUAUAUAAUAGAUAUUAUGAACAAGUUACUGUAGGGAUAACAGCGCAAUUUUUAUUUAUAGUUCUUAUAAAAAUAAAAGAUUACGACCUCGAUGUUGAAUUAAUUUAUCUAAUUAAUGUAACCAUUAAUAAAGUAGGUCUGUUCGACCUUUAAUAAAUUACA